GUGGGGAAUUGUUCGCAAUGGGCGCAAGCCUGACGACGCAACGCCGCGUGGAGGAUGAAGGUCUUCGGAUUGUAAACUCCUGUUGCCCGGGACGAAAUGUUCAGACCUAACACGUCUGAGUUUGACGGUACCGGGUGAGGAAGCCCCGGCUAACUCUGUGCCAGCAGCCGCGGUAAUACAGAGGGGGCAAGCGUUGUUCGGAAUUACUGGGCGUAAAGGGCGCGUAGGCGGCCCUCUAAGUCGAACGUGAAAUCCCUGGGCUCAACCCAGGAACUGCGUCCGAGACUGGGGGGCUUGAAUCCGGGAGAGGGAUGUGGAAUUCCAGGUGUAGCGGUGAAAUGCGUAGAUAUCUGGAGGAACAUCGGUGGCGAAGGCGGCAUCCUGGACCGGUAUUGACGCUGAGGCGCGAAAGCCAGGGGAGCAAACGGGAUUAGAUACCCGAGUAGUCC
rnacentral:rRNA from 1 species